UACGUAGGGGGCAAGCGUUGUCCGGAUUUAUUGGGCGUAAAGAGCGUGUAGGCGGCCAGGUAGGUCUGCUGUGAAAACUCGAGGCUCAACCUCGAGACGUCGGCGGAAACCAUCUGGCUAGAGUCCGGAAGAGGAGAGUGGAAUUCCUGGUGUAGCGGUGAAAUGCGCAGAUAUCAGGAAGAACACCCGUGGCGAAGGCGGCUCUCUGGGACGGUACUGACGCUGAGACGCGAAAGCGCGGGGAGCGAACAGG
rnacentral:rRNA from 1 species